rnacentral:rRNA from 1 species
GAGAACGACAGAGGAGGGCGCACGGUGGAUGCCUAUGGCGUCGCGGGCCGAGGAAGGGCGUGGCCACGCGGCGAAACGCCCCGGGGAGGCGCUGGCAGCCGGUGAUCCGGGGAUACCCGAAUGGGGCAACCUGCCCGGGGGCAAGCCCGGGCGCCGGCCAUCCCCGCGAGGGGGUGGCCGGGGGGAACCGGGGGAACUGAAACAUCUCAGUACCCCGAGGAAGCGAGAGGAGUCCCCGCGUAGCGGCGAGCGAGAGGGGAAGAGCCCAAACCCGGCCGGUGGCACAGGCUGCCGCCGAUGCCGGCCGGGGGUAGGACGGGCCCGGUGGAGGUCCCGGCAGGGACCUCGCCCCGAGACCAACACUGUCCUCGUCAGCCGAAGACCGCUGGAACGGGUCACCGGAGGGGGUGAGAGUCCCGUAGGCGACGGCGGGGAGAGCGGGGUGACCGGGUCGCGUGAGUACCGCCCACCACGUGGGAUUGGGCGGGAAGCGGGGUGGACCACCACCCAAGGCUAAGCACCCGCGGCGACCGAUAGUGAACCAGUACCGUGAGGGAACGGUGAAAAGCACCCCGGUGAGGGGAGUGAAAGAGAUCCUGAAACCGUGCGCUCCUGGCCGGUCGGAGCCCGGCUACCGUCUAGGUAGACCGGGUGACGGCGUGCCUUUUGUAGAAUGAGCCGACGAGUUGUUGGCGAUGGCGAGGCUAAGCCGGGACACAGGCGGAGCCGGAGCGAAAGCGAGUCCGAAAGGGCGUGGGGCGUCCCGUUUCGACGGGGCGUCCGUGGAGUCGUCGGUAGCAGACCCGAAACCGGGUGAUCUACCCAUGGGCAGGCUGAAGCCGGCGGAACACGCUGGUGGAGGGCCGAACCCGGGUCCGUUGCAAAGGGCUGGGAUGACCUGUGGGUAGGGGUGAAAUGCCAAGCGAACCCGGAGAUAGCUGGUUCUCCCCGAAAUGCAUUUAGGUGCAGCCCUGGGAAGGGAGCGCCCUGGUGGUAGCGCGCUGGAUCGGCGAGGGGGCCCAACGCUUACCGACCCGAACCAAACGCCGAAUGCCGGGGCGUGGUGCCCAGGAGUGAGACCGCGGGAGCUAAGUUUCGUGGUCGAGAGGGGAACAGCCCAGACCGCCGGCUAAGGUCCCCAAGUCCGGGCUCAGUGGGCAAGGCGGUCGCGGCGCGCAGACAACCAGGAGGUUGGCUUAGAAGCAGCCAUUCCUUGAAAGAGUGCGUAAUAGCUCACUGGUCGAGUGUGCCGCGGCACCGACAAUCCACCGGGGCUCAAGCCCGGCACCGAAGCCGCGGAUGCGGCCGGCGCGUCGCGCUCUGCGGAGUGUGGCCUGGCGGGCCGCGUGGUAGGGGAGCGUCCCCGUCGGCGGUGAAGGGGAGGCGGGAGCCGACCUGGAGCGGCGGGGAGUGCGAAUGUCGGCACGAGUAGCGCGAGGGGGGUGAGAAUCCCCCCCACCGAAUGCCCGAGGGUUCCGCGGCCAGGCUGAUCCGCCGCGGGUGAGGCGGGCCUAAGCCGAGGGCGCGAGCCGUAGGCGAUGGACAACGGGUACAGAGUCCCGUCCCGCCGCCAGACGUCAGUAGCGAUGGGGGGACACGGGGAGGUAGGCCCGGGGGUCAAUCGCGACCCUCCAAGCAGGUAGGGUGUCGGGGGAGGGAAAUCCCCCCCGGCGAGACCCGAGCGGCGAGUGGAAGGGGAGGGCCUCGGCCCGAACCGGACGGGUUGAGCCUGGACCGGCGAGAAAAGCCUCUAGCGAGUCUGGCGGCGCCCGUACCGCAAACCGACACAGGUGGGCUGGUAGAGCAUACCGAGGUGGACGGGAGACCCUCCGUCAAGGAACUCGGCAACUUGGCCCCGUAACUUCGGGAGAAGGGGCGCCCCGGUAGCGUGAGGGGGCCUAGGCGCCCCGGAGCGUGAGGGGGCCGCAGAGAGCGGGCCCAGGCGACUGUUUACCAAAAACACCGGUCCCUGCCAACGCGACAAGCGUGGACGUAUAGGGGCUGAGACCUGCCCAGUGCCGGAAGGUUAAGGGGAGGGGUGCGAGCCCCGAACCGAAGCCCCGGUAAACGGCGGCCGUAACUAUAACGGUCCUAAGGUAGCGAAAUUCCUUGUCGGGUAAGUUCCGACCCGCACGAAAGGUAGAACGAUCUGGGCGCUGUCUCGACGGGGGACCCGGCGAAACUGAAGGACCGGUGAAGAUACCGGUGACCUGCGGCAGGACAAAAAGACCCCGUGCAGCUUUACUCUAGCUUGUCGCUGGGCGGGGGUGUCGCUUGUGCAGGAUAGGUGGGAGCCUGGGAGCCGGGGGCGUCAGCCGCCGGGGAGGCGGCCUUGAGAUACCACCCUGGCGACGCCGCCGUCCUCACCCCGGACCGGUCUAACCCGGCGGGGGACCGCGGCUGGUGGGGAGUUUGACUGGGGCGGUCGCCUCCCAAAGUGUAACGGAGGCGCCCAAGGGUUCCCUCAGGCCGGAUGGCAAUCGGCCGGAGCGUGCAAGGGCAGCAAGGGAGCUUGACUGCGAGGCGGACAGGCCGAGCAGGGGCGAAAGCCGGGCCUAGUGAUCCCACGGUGCCGAGUGGAAGGGCCGUGGCUUAACGGAUAAAAGCUACGCCGGGGAUAACAGGCUGAUCCUGCCCAAGAGUCCAUAUCGACGGCAGGGUUUGGCACCUCGAUGUCGGCUCGUCGCAUCCUGGGGCUGGAGAAGGUCCCAAGGGUUGGGCUGUUCGCCCAUUAAAGCGGUACGCGAGCUGGGUUCAGAACGUCGUGAGACAGUUCGGUCUCUAUCCGCCGUGGGCGAUGGGGGGUUGCGGGGGGCUGUCCCUAGUACGAGAGGACCGGGAUGGACGGACCGCUGGUGGGCCAGUCGUCGGGCGACCGGCGCGGCUGGGUAGCUACGUCCGGACGGGCUAACCGCUGAAAGCAUCUAAGUGGGAACCCCUCCCCAAGACGAGCCCCCCUACGGGCCAUCGAGCCCGGGGAGGCCCCCGGCAGACGACCGGGUCGAUAGGCGGCGCGUGGACGGCGGGCAACCGACCGGAGCGGAGCCGUCCUAAUGGCCGAAGACGUUUCUUC